rnacentral:lncRNA from 1 species
CCUUCUGGAUCACGCGUCCCAGGCUGCCGUGUGGCAGAACAGGAAGUAGCCAUUCUCAGACUCACGAAGAAACCCCAUCUUCCUUUGGCCUCUGCGGGAACGUACUGACUUGUCCCAGAGGGGAAAGAAUGGAGGGCCAGUAUUCAGGGGAGAGCGACCUCUGAGAGCCUCGGCUAAGGGCUGGGCUUCGCAAGGUCUUUGAGUGGCAAGGACCGGGGCCUCUCCCCACCCUGGACAGGGUGGGGGGUUCCCACACGGGCGACCCUGGAGCUACAGCGAGAACCCCAGAACGGGGCCAAGACCAGAACGGUGUCAGAGGCCACGCCAGCUUGGCUGAGGGGCACAGUGUGGGGGCAGGAGGGACCAAAUAAAGGUCAGAGGGCGUUUCUCCAGCUGGGCUGGGUCAGACCAACAGGCCUUCUCCUGACCCUGGGCUGGGCCGCUGGUCACAGUAGUUACUGGGCUGGAUGUCCUGGCCGCACUGUGGGCUGGGGGCUUGGAGCGUGUAAACUUUGAUUUGGCAAAAGGAGAGAAAUGUGAUUCCUACACCUGGGGUGAAGCCGCACCAGUCACCCUUGCUCCAGUAUUUAGACACAGAAGGUGGUCUGUUACUCAACGCUUCCUGGUGGUCAGAAGCCCCAGGCUCCAGGCUGGUUUUUCAGGACUGAGAGCUAGUGCUGUGGGAAAUGGCCAUUCAGAGUGGAACACGACCCCUGCGCUAAAAUAUUGACUUUCCUGUUAUUUCUUUACUUAAACGCUUCUACUUUUCAAGAGCCAGGACAACGUCUUAAAAGAUUAGAUGUUGAAGUUGGUUUUUUUUUUUGUUUUUUGUCUUUUGGCCUUGCCUGCGGCAUGUGGAAGUUCCUGGGCCAGGACUGAACCCAAGCCAAAACAACAACCCAAGACACAGCAGUGACAACGCCAGGUCCCUAACCCACUGUGUCAUCGGGGAACUCUCUGGUCAAGUUUUUUCAUUAAGAGGGAGUUCCCCUUGUGGCUCAGUGGGUUAAGAAUGCGAAGUAGUAUCCAUGAAGAUGAGGGUUCGAUCCCUGGCCUCGACGAAACAACAUGCUACUAAACAACCAAUGGAUCACCGAUCCCUGGCCUCACUCAGUAGGUUAAGGAUCCAGCGUUGCUGCCAGCUGCUGACAGAUGUGGCUGCAGCUCCGAUUUGACCUCUAGCCAGGGAACUUCCAUAUGACACAUGUGUGGCCCUAAAAAAAAUAGAAGAAGAAGAUAAGAGGCGUGCCCUCUGUGGCAAAGUGGGUCAAGAAUCCAGCUGAGGAGUUCCCGUCAUGGCUCAGUAAAAACGAACCCGACUGGUGUCCACGAGGACAUGGGCUCAAUCCCUGGCCUUGUUUGGCAGAUUAAGGGUUAAGGAUCCAGCACCGCUGUGAGCUGUGGUGUAAGUCACAGACGUGGCUGGGAUCCCUUAUUGCUGUGACUGGGGUGUAGACCGACAGCUGCAGCUCUGAUUGAACCCCUAGCCUGGGAACCUCCAUACGCCGCAGGGUGCCAAGACUUAACCACACCAGUGUCCAUCAAGCACAGCGAAAGAAAUCAGAAACAGCCUCAAUAACCAACAGUUAGAAAUACGUUAAAUAAAUUACGGUACAGCCACCCCGGGGACGCCUAUGGGGCCGUCCCAACUGUGGUCACGGCAGACUGAACAUCCCAGAAAGAGGUUUACAGAUAUUGUUAACAACGAAAAUACGUAUUGUACAACCAUAGUUUUGUUUUUAAAACGUUAUUUAUGUGGUUGGGAAAAGAGGAUACAUAUCGAAACGUUUCUCUGGUUGGUGACUGUUCUGUUCCUUUUGUUUAUACCUAUAUUUCCUCAAUUUUUUACAGCACAAAGAUAGAUUACUCUAUAAAAAGAAAGGUAAUAACAGUAGGAGAAGAGUUGUAUUUGCACUCCUUCUGCUUUCUACAAACUAUCAUUGCCUCACUCACAGCUUAUCUUAUCACUAUUAACGACUGUGUUUUUGAGAAUGGGCCACCAACCAAGUGUACAUACCGCCUCUAAGCCGCACAAGAGCACAAGAUCUCUGUUAAAUAAGUGUCAUUAUUAUCCACUAUUCGCAAAUGAGGAGAUCGGAGACCAGAGAUGUAAAAAUUAGCCCAGCGUAAAAGUUGGGGUGACAGGAAGAGGAGUCACACUCGGCUUACUUGGGUCGUAAGGCCCAAGUGCCUCCUCCUGCCGGUGUCCUGCCGCUCGCUGCUGUGGUUACGUGGUGUGUCUUUAGACCUCAUUUUACCCGACUUCUCAGCGUUCCCCAAGCUAAUCAGAUGCCCUUCGGAACCCAAGCUUUAGAAAAAUGACACAAAGUUGAAAUAUGCCUAAAGACAAACGUUUACAUGUGGCGCCUCUGCCACCCCAGUUAGAAUCCGCAGAGUGAAACAGAGAAAUUCCACAGACGAGCCACCUUCUAGAGACAGACGCCGCAGGAAACCCAAGGAGCUGAAUUAAGUCACUGAGUCAACAGGUGGCUGGACAGUUAGGAACGGACAUCCACUAUAGGUCAAGGGCGAGAACACAGGACAGAGGGAGAGAGCCGAGGGCAGCUACGAAAUGAAGGUGGGACCUGACAAAACGCGGGCAGAGGCCGGCCCAGCAGCUCUGAGGGCGGCCGGUGGGGCCAUUGAAAGGCUCCCCUUCUGUGGCUUCACCCAAGACUUGGGGUUUGCGAAGCCGGGGGGGAAAGUCCUUUGAGGGGGAUGUGGAGGCUAAAUCAACAGCAUGACAUGUCCCGAGGGGGGCGCUCCGAGCCGAUGACGUGCAGAUUUCUCAGGCUGGCAGCCUGUUUCUCACCCAGCAGGAGCCUGCCCUGCCCCUCGCUUCUGUGCCCGCUGCCUCCCCCGAUCCCUCGAUCCCCCACCCUGACCAGUUCCUCAGGCCUCUGGGAAAACGGCAACUGCUGCCUUCCCGGCUGAGGAGCCCCGGAGCCGCCUCCUAGGUCUUCUUUCUGUAUCCACUUGGCCUCGCUCACAGCCUGUGGAAGUUCCCGGGCCAGGGAUCGAACCUGUGCCACGGCAGUGACUACGCCCGAUCCUUCACCUGCUGCACCACAGGGGAACUCCUGUCUUCCUGUUUAAGUGCCGAUGUUUGAAUCCUCUUUGCCUUGUCCUGGGCUUACCUACUUUCAGUGACAGCAACGGCACCCAUCUUUAAGGUAAUCCGGUAACUACUGAUGAUUGAAUGAGGACGAGGAAACUGAACAGCGUGACACUGCUGUCCCUGCAAGACAAAAACAGUCACCUGGGGGCAAUGUGCUGUGGUUCAGCUGAACACACGGGGUGCAUAUACAUUACUGUUUACUCUCCACAGCAGCAGAGUCAAAUAAUUCAAGUUUUACAGAGAAGCAAGUGAGGCCAGGGAUAUGGAGUAAUUUACACAGAGAGCAGAUGACGGGCCAGGUCGAGUUCCUUCCCUCCACCUCGUGAGCACUACGGGGCUUCCUGCUCGUGAGGUCGUCCGUCUCUGACCCGCUGGCUUGUCGGGCUCUCGGGACAAGCCGGCCCCCUCCAGCCCCGCCAGCCUUCCAGAGCCCCCUCCUAAUCCGACAGCACUGGAUCCCUCGCCCUCGUGUUGAACAGGACCGAUGCGUGUCUGGGGCCUGUGGCCGCCUCUCCCCCCCACAGUGGGAUCUGCGGGAGCCACUGAGAGGCUAGCCAGCCCUUCCCACUCAGCUGAGUCCUAAAUUUCAGGUGCUGUUCUUUCCAAGAAGGUACCUGGGAAGACACCUUUCCGCAAAGAUCUUUCCUUCGCACGGUAGGUUCCUCGCUGUCCUAUUUCUUCUCUUUACGCUCCCUCUUGACCUGCAAACUCAGUCUGAAACUCACCUGUGGACCCAGCAGUGCCACGCCUGGUAUAAACCCAAGAGAAGUGAAAACACAUGUCCACACACAGACUUGUGGCCGCAACAGCCAAAGAAGGAACACAACCCAAGUGGCCAUCAGUUAAGAAAAGGGUGAAUAAAAUGCGACCUGUCUCUGCAGGAGACCAUUAUUCAAGCGUGGAAAGGAAUGACGGAAU